AAUACGGAGGGUGCAAGCGUUAUCCGGAUUCACUGGGUUUAAAGGGUGCGUAGGUGGGCAGGUAAGUCAGUGGUGAAAUCUCCGGGCUUAACCCGGAAACUGCCAUUGAUACUAUCUGUCUUGAAUACCCUGGAGGUGAGCGGAAUAUGUCAUGUAGCGGUGAAAUGCUUAGAUAUGACAUAGAACACCCAUUGCGAAGGCAGCUCACUACGGGACUAUUGACACUGAGGCACGAAAGCGUGGGGAUCAAACAG
rnacentral:rRNA from 1 species